UACGUAGGAGGCAAGCGUUGUCCGGAGUUACUGGGCGUAAAGCGCACGCAGGCGGUCGCUUAAGUCUGGGGUGACAGUUCCCGGCCUAACCGGGAAAGUGCUCUGGAAACUGGACGACUUGAGGGCUUCAGAGGGAUGUGGAAUUCCAGGUGGAGUGGUGAAAUGCGUAGAGAUCUGGAAGAACACCAAAGGCGAAGGCAGCAUCCUGGGAAGUACCUGACGCUCGGGUGCGAAAGCUAGGGGAGCGAAC
rnacentral:rRNA from 1 species